AGAGGAGAGGGUGGGGCUGUAGCACCAGGUCAGGGAACACGGAAGGCGCAGGGUUCCAGGGAUCCCGCGGGUCCUCGCGGCUUGGCUUGACCGGCUUCCUCCACCUACGCCCCUCUCCUACACAAGUCCGGCCCUCGGCGCUCCUGCCGAAGCAGCAGGCGCCUCGGACUCUGCGCGGCUCCCGCCGGUCACUCACCUAUGAUGGUCCGCGCCGCCGAGACGAUGACCACGGGAUCUGAGCCUGCAUUCAUCUUGCUUCUCCUGCCGCCGUCUGCCCUGCUCUGCCUGCAAGCUAGGCAAAGCUCCUCCUCGCAGCCCACAGGCCUGCCGCGGGCGGGACCUGAGCUCAGGACUGGAAUCCCACGGGCGAGAAUCUCGAGUGCCAGCCCGCCCCGCCGCGGGUCUCAGCACGGUUCUGAUGGGUCCUUUUGCUCUCGGCGGCUUCGGGAGGUCCUGUGCGUUUCGCCUGGCGCCAGUCAUUCCCUCGCGUGAGGGGCUUGCUAGGAGCGUCUCGGUGCGAGCCCCCUGCCUUCUAAGAUCAACUCUGGCUGUGAACGGGUGAGGACGCCGAGAGCGUCUUAGCGUCACACAGUGAAAAGUUCCUUUGGUUGACGUUUGGACAGUGAAAGGAGCAUGUAACAAGUGGGGUCAGUUUUGUUUAAAACCCUUUCUGACUUCUCAGCCUCUUACUGGGCAAAGUUCAUAAUUUUUCUGAGCUUUCUAGGGUUUCCAGGCAAGCUUAUGAGGGGCCACCAUUACAGCAACUUGUUGGGAACACCUGGAUAGUGGAACAAGAAAGCUUUGUCACAAAGUCAUGAAGGGGAAAACUGUUGACGGACCUGGAGAAUCUUCCUGAAGAAUUUUAAAGUAGAUUGAAAGAAUCAUUAAAUCCUGGAAACCUACAUUAAGACUUUGCAGAGAUAUGCGGAUGGGUCAGAUAAAUCAGAGAAGAGUAUAGGCCCCAGAGGUGGGGCAAUAGAGAAGGAAAAACAUUGCAUAACAGUGCAAUUUCAGGAGAAAUCUUUAGGGUCUGGAAUAGUGGUGAAAUCAGCUGUCUACCCUGCUAAGAACUCAGCAGCACACUUAAGUCUCUUUUCAGUUGUCUUCAAUGUGUUUCCUGUCCCCUAACAUAUCUGAGUCCAAGGAAUUCAAGGAAUGCCUCCCGUGGCUUUUGCUCUAUUCUAUCCCAUUUUCCCCUUACUCCCUGGCCACUUCUGAGUCUUUGUGGGCUUACUCUCACAUCCCCUUAACAUGUUCCCCAAGGCUGCUACUUUGCACCAGCUCCCUGGGUAAUACCAGUCAUUCCUACGGCAUCAAUCACCACCUGUAUACUGACAAGUCUGAAAUCCUUACAUCUAACCUCGUCUCCUAAGCUGACUGACCCUCUUCAUUUAAAUUCUUACAAGCACAUCAGGUCGGGCACCUUGGCUCACACCUGUAAUCCCAGCACUUUGGGAGGCCGAGGAGGGCGGAUCAUUUGAGGUCAGCAGUUUGAGACCAGCCUGGCCAACAUGGUGAUAUCCCGUUUCUACCAUAAAAUAGAAAAAUUAGCCGGGCGUGGUGCCAUGCGCCUGUAAUCCCAGCUACUGGGGAGGCUGACAUGGGAAAAUCGCUUGAACCUAGGAGGCAGAGGUUUCAGUGAGCCGAGAUCACACCACUGCACUCCAGCCUGAGCGACAGAGAGAAACUGUCUCAAAUAAAUAAAAUUUCCUAUAAGCACAACAAAUUUGACAUACUGAAACCAAACUCUUCCAGCCUGUUUCUUCUGUAAUCUCAGUGAGCAGUGAAACUAUCUUCUGUUAACCAAACCAGAAAUUUACCUCUGAAACUCCCCCUAAACAUCACUUCUUCCAGAAAAACCUUCCAAUCUCCUGCAUUUGGUGCAGCAUCUUACCCCUAACUUCCUCUUUCAACUUACCAUGUAAUUCCUAGUUUAUCUGUCUCCUCUACUGACUACAUAAGCUUUGCAAGAUGAUCCUGGUACACUGCUUUAUGCACAGCUCCUAGCACAUUAUAGGCAGUUAUGAAUGAACACCAAUAUUCUUUAUGGCCAGUGCCUAGCACAUUUGAAUGAGUAUGAAUAUAUUCUUCUGGAGACAAGGGAUAUAUAGUUUCCUGCCUGAAGGCUCGAUCUAGAGUAAGUUUAGGAGCCAAUCUUGAGAAGGUAAUUGCAUGCUUCUGCUGAGUGGCCAAACAGAAUCUGUCCCCUGAGGAGUCCUCAUUAUAGCUACUCAUAUGAUUACCUACUCAUAUGAGACAGACGGGGACUAAGAAUAAUGAAUGAAGGAAAGAAGAGGAAUUUUUUUUUUUUUUUGAGACGGAGUCUCGCUCUGUCACCCAGGCUGGAGUGCAGUGGCGCUAUCUCGGCUCACCACAACCUCCACCUCCCAGGUUCAAGCGAUUCUUCUGCCUCAGACUCCUGAGUAGCUGGGAUUACAGGCCCGUGCCACCAUGCCCAGCUAAUUUUUGUAUUUUUAGUAAAGACGGGGUUUCACCAUGUUAGGCUGAUCUCGAACUCCUGACCUUGUGAUCUGCCCACCUCGGCCUCCCAAAGUGCUGGGAUUACAGGCGUGAGCCACCGCGCCCCAGCCAGCUGGAAGAUAAUUUUUAAAAUUACGUCUUGGCCGGCCGCGGUGGCUCAUGCCUGUAAUCCCAGCACUUUGGGAGGCUGAGGCGGGCAGAUCACCUGAGGUCGGGAGUUCAAGACCUGCCUGACCAACAUGCAGAAACUCUGUCUCUACUAAAAAUACAAAAUUAGCUGGGCGUGAUGCCACAUGCCUGUAAAUCCCAGCUACUAGGGAGGCUAAGGCAGGAGAAUUGCUUGAACCUGGGAGGCGGAGGUUGUGGUGGGUCAAGAUUGUGCCAUUGUACUCCAGCCUGGGCAACAAGAGCGAAACUCCAUCUCAAAAAUAAAAUAAAAUAAAAUAAAAUUACAUCUAGAUCUCAAAUCAUAAACUACCUGGACUGGUGAGCAGGGUGAGUGGGCAGGAAGCCACAAAAAUCUCCAAGUGCUUACUCAUGAGGAGGCACCAUUACAGCAGUGCUAUGGAGCCAGUUUAUCCUGAAGGGGCCUUCUCAGCAUCUUCCCCCGCUGGAAGAUGCAAUCAUUCUUGGUUAAGUUUCAUAAAGAGUUGCAGGAGUCCAAGCCAGGUCUUUGCUACAGGCUGGAUUCACCAACCUACUAUGUAGCAAAUUCCUCCUUGGUCUCCAUGAGGGGAACAGUGAAUCACCAAAGUGGAAUUGUCAUAGGAUGGAGGUCAGCAGUGUGCUCCUUACCACUAGGGGCUAGCUCAACACUCCCUCAGCACAGCCACCCCAUGAUGGGUCCAGAUCAGUUAAUGACAUUACCUGGGAUUAUGAAAGUGUUCACUAUAACCACAGGGAUAGGUGAACUCCCAAGACAGUGACGUAGAGCAGCAGGCAAUGAUUUGAGUACAGGGCAUAACUACUCAUGAAAGAGGGAACAUCUGAGAAAGAAAGUUGUCAGAAGGAAUGGCUUUACAUUGUUUUGCAAAAGUGUCUCAAAAACUGGAGUAGUCAGUUGUAUCCAAUACACCUGAGGAGCCAAGGAAACUGACAUCUAUUGCGCUCUCUGUAUGAGGACUCCUACCAGGAACCAAACUGGGGCACCAAUCAGGGGGCACUGUGAUCUUUAGACUUCCCAGCCUCCAAAAACAGUGAGGAAUGCGCGUGUAAAGCCAGUCUGUGUGUUUUUUUUUUUUCACAGCAGUCCAAGCUAAGACAGCAGUGAGUGCUCUUACAGGGGAGAAAAACAAAACAAAAUAUCGAGCCUCGAGGAUACAUUUGCCCAAAUCAGUUAAGUGUAAUACCAGGAUUCAAACCAAUUAGAUGCAGAAGCCACUCUAUCACCUCUCUUAUCACAGGCAUACCAGAAAAUAAAGCAUCCAAUUCCAGAAAUGAGAAAUACUGACUCUAUGUACCACAGAAUAAGUGCUCUGAGUUAUUCAUCAAGGCAGACUCAACAGAAACAUGAAAAUGUCACAUUAACAGGUCAAUAUUAAAUUCAGUCAUAAAAUUGUAUCACUGGUUGAAAAAUUAAUUUCCUAUCACAAACUCUUGAUUACGUUACACCAACAGGACAGAGAAAUUACAUUUUUGUUUAAAUUGGUCAAGUUGAAGGAUGUACAUAACAAAAGCCAAACACAGUAUCUGAUAUAUCAAACACCAAAAUGUUUAAUCACAUGCAAAUUAAAAAUUGUAUAGGAUUUUUUACUCACUUGAGCAGACUGUAGAAAAGGUUAAUCAAGGUUGGGCGCGGUGGCUCACACCUGUAAUCCCAGCACUUUGGGAGGCCGAGGUGGGUGGAUCACAAGGUCAGGAGUUCGAGACCAGCCUGGCCAACACAGUGAAACCCCAUCUCUUCUGAAAAUACAAAAAUAAGCUGGGCGUGGUGGCGCACACCUGUAAUCCCAGCUACUCAGGAGUCUGAGGCAGGAGAAUUGCUUGAAUCCAGGAGGUGGAGGUUGCAGUGAGCCACGAUAGUGCCACUGCACUCCAGCCUGGGUGGCAGAGCGAGAUUCUCGAAAAAAAAAAAAAAGAGAAAAAGAAAAAGAAAAGGUUAAUCAAGAGACAGUGCAGUAUUUAACAUACUGCUGAAGACCAGAUAUACCUGUAUCAGCUAAACAAGCAAAAGCAGCAAUUACUUUCAAAUAAGUUGUACCUCAGUUUUCGAGUAUUAUAACUCCACUCCCAAGGUUCCUUGAUUGUAUUACAAGUUAUGUCUAAAACAAUACUUUGCUUUUAGCAGAAAUGGAAUUUCAUUUCAACCAUAUAUGAAAGCUACACAUUUGAAGGCCAUUCAAUAUCAUACUUUUAUACUUAAUUACCUCUGAGAAAAUGGAGCAAACUUUGACAUUCUUCCACCUUAAAAACAUUUUCUCCUACCUACAUUCUAACACCCCUUACUCAUAUAAUAUUACCAGAUAUGUUGUUAGUAAAAAUCAGUAGUACUGGCCAGCGUUUUAAAACAAACAUCACUGACUACAAAGAUACUCUACUUGAAAUCAGGUCACAAAAAACAAACCCUGCUUUUCAAUUAAAACUCAGAAAGGGCCAGGAGCUGUAGCUCACUCCUGCAAUCCCAACACGUUGGGAAGCCAAGGCAGAAGGAUCCCUUGGGGCCAGGAGUUUGAGGCCAGCCUGUGCAACAUAGCGAGGCCUUGUCUCUACUAAAAUUAAAAUAAAUGUAGCUGGGUGUGGUAGUAUAUGCCUAUAGUCUCAGGUACUCGGAAGCCUGAAGUGGGAGGAUCACUUGAGUCUAGGACUUUGAGGCUGCAGUGAGCCAUGACUGCACCACUGCACUUGAGCCUAAGUGACAAAGCAAGACCCUGUCUCAAUUUUAAAAAAAAAAAAAAAAAAAAAAAGCCUAAGAAAUAGAUGACUAUUUUCUUUAUACUUUUCUGUAUUUUAAAAUAUUUUGUAACAAUUAUAAGUCAAGAAAAAAUUUUAAGUGUAGCCCUGAACUCCAGCUCCAUUUUGCAAAAUAAGGCAUACAUUAAAAAUUGUGUGCAAAAUCAUAAUCGAUGCUUGGUCUUAAGUUUGACUGUUGUGGUACUUGAAGGAUAAUGAGUAGAAAUUCAGUGACUCAAUGAAAAUGACAAAUGCUAAACAUACACCCAAAACAAAACAAAAAAGCUAAUUAAGGAGUUACAAUAAAAAUCUUUAUUUAGGUUUGGUCAGUACAGGUAAGAUAUACUGGAGUCACAGAGCAAUAUGCAUUAACAGGAUACAACAGUUCAUAAAAACUGAGUAACUAUGCACACAAAUUUCUUAAACAGUCACCUAAAGAGAAAAUGCACAGAUGUAUGGUGGAAAAAACUGUAUCUAACACUGAAACUACUACAGGACUCCAUCAAUGAGUCCAACUUUUAGUGAUAAAAAACUACUGUACUGGGCAAACUUGGCAGUCAUAAACCCACAUCUACUCUAACAAGUCUGAAUGGUGCAUAAGUACAGUAACAGCAUGAGUACGAAUGCCCUUACACAGCACAGAUUCUAAACAGACAUAGAUUUAUACAGACGUCAUUGUGUUGUAUUUUAAGGAAAAAUUUCCAUUUACAAUUUCACAUUAACUCAUAUAAAAAUAACUUGACCCUACACAAAAUGUCCUUUUAGCAACAUUCAAAGUAAUUAACUGUUACAAUUUCCAAAGCGGCAGAAGUAUUGAAGCAAAGAAAAAAAAACAAAGAAAAGGAAAAAAAAAAACAAAGAAAAAAAACAACAAAAAAAACAAAA